GAUGAACGCUCGCUGUGUGCUAAUACAUGCAUGUUGAACGGGAUGUAGCAAUACAUUCAGUAGCGAAUGGGUGAGUAACACGUACCUAACCUACCUUUAAGACUGGGAUAACUAUUGGAAACAAUAGCUAAUACCGGAUAUAGUUAUUUAUCGCAUGAUGAGUAAUAGAAAGGAGCUUCACAGCUUCACUUAAAAAUGGGGGUGCGGAACAUUAGUUAGUUGGUAGGGUAAUGGCCUACCAAGACGAUGAUGUUUAGCCGGGCCGAGAGGCUAUACGGCCACACUGGGACUGAGAUACGGCCCAGACUCCUACGGGAGGCAGCAGUAAGGAAUUUUCCACAAUGAGCGAAAGCUUGAUGGAGCGACACAGCGUGCAGGAUGAAGUUCUUCGGAAUGUAAACUGCUGUUAUAAGGGAAGAAAAAAUAGAAUAGGAAAUGAUUUUAUCUUGACGGUACCUUAUUAGAAAGCGACGGCAAACUAUGUGCCAGCAGCUGCGGUAAUACAUAGGUCGCAAGCGUUAUCCGGAAUUAUUGGGCGUAAAGCGUCCGUAGGUUUUUUGCUAAGUCUGGAGUUAAAUGCUGAAGCUCAACUUCAGUCCGCUUUGGAUACUGGCAAAAUAGAAUUAUAAAGAGGUUAGCGGAAUUCCUAGUGAAGCGGUGGAAUGCGUAGAUAUUAGGAAGAACACCAAUAGGCGAAGGCAGCUAACUGGUUAUAUAUUGACACUAAGGGACGAAAGCGUGGGGAGCAAACAGG
rnacentral:rRNA from 1 species